UACGUAGGGGGCAAGCGUUGUCCGGAAUCAUUGGGCGUAAAGCGCGCGUAGGCGGCCCGGUAAGUCCGCUGUGAAAGUCCAGGGCUCAACCCUGGAAUGCCGGUGGAUACUGCCGGGCUAGAGUCCGGAAGAGGCGAGUGGAAUUCCUGGUGUAGCGGUGGAAUGCGCAGAUAUCAGGAGGAACACCGGUGGCGAAGGCGGAUCUCUGGGCCAUUACUGACGCUGAGGAGCGAAAGCGUGGGGAGCGAACAGG
rnacentral:rRNA from 1 species